GCCUGGCUAGCUCCAUCAGUAGAGCAUGAGACUCUUGAUCUUGGGGUUGUGAGUUCAAACUCCAUGUUGGGUG
rnacentral:tRNA from 1 species